CGGCGGCUGCGCAGUGUCGGCACAUCCGGGCACUGGGGCAGGAUGAGCGCUCCUUUCCAAGAUGGCGGCGGAGGGAGGUGGGAAGGAGAUGAACGAGAUUAAGACCCAGUUCACCACCCGGGAGGGGCUGUACAAGCUGCUGAGCCACUCGGAGUACAGCCGGCCUAACCGCGUGCCCUUCAACUCGCAGGGCUCCAACCCCGUCCGCGUCUCCUUCGUCAACGUCAACGACCAGAGCGGCAACGGGGACCGGCUCUGCUUCAAUGUGGGCCGGGAGCUCUACUUCUACAUCUACAAGGGGGUCCGCAAGGCUGCGGACUUGAGCAAACCAAUAGACAAAAGGAUAUACAAAGGAACACAGCCUACAUGCCACGACUUCAAUCACUUAACAGCCACAGCAGAAAGUGUGUCUCUUCUAGUGGGCUUCUCUGCAGGCCAGGUCCAACUUAUAGACCCUAUUAAAAAAGAAACUAGCAAAUUAUUUAAUGAGGAAAGACUAAUAGACAAGUCCCGAGUAACCUGUGUAAAAUGGGUACCAGGUUCGGAAAGCCUUUUCCUAGUAGCUCAUUCCAGUGGCAAUAUGUACUUGUAUAACGUGGAGCACACUUGUGGUACCACAGCCCCGCACUACCAGCUACUUAAACAAGGAGAGAGUUUUGCAGUGCACACUUGCAAGAGCAAAUCCACAAGAAACCCUCUGCUUAAGUGGACAGUAGGUGAGGGUGCCCUGAACGAAUUUGCCUUUUCCCCCGAUGGGAAGUUCUUGGCGUGUGUGAGCCAGGAUGGUUUUCUUCGUGUGUUUAACUUUGAUUCGGUGGAAUUGCAUGGUACAAUGAAAAGCUACUUUGGAGGACUGCUGUGUGUGUGUUGGAGCCCCGAUGGGAAGUACAUAGUGACAGGCGGAGAGGAUGACUUGGUGACAGUUUGGUCUUUCGUGGACUGUCGAGUCAUAGCGAGAGGCCACGGCCAUAAAUCGUGGGUCAGUGUCGUUGCGUUUGAUCCGUAUACCACUAGUGUAGAAGAGAGCGACCCGAUGGAAUUUAGCGGAAGCGAUGAGGAUUUCCAAGACCUUCAUUUUGGCAGAGAUCGAGCAAAUAGCACGCAAUCUAGACUAUCCAAAAGGAACUCUACAGACAGUCGUCCAGUAAGUGUUACGUAUAGAUUUGGUUCAGUAGGCCAGGACACGCAGCUCUGUUUGUGGGAUCUUACAGAAGAUAUCCUCUUCCCCCACCAACCUCUCUCAAGAGCAAGGACACAUACAAAUGUCAUGAAUGCCACAAGUCCACCUGCAGGAAGUGGUGGAACUAACCCAGGAAGUAAUGGAAACAGUAUCACAACACCUGGAAACUCUGUACCCCCUCCUCUUCCACGGUCCAACAGCCUUCCACACUCUGCAGUCUCAAAUGCUGGCAGUAAAAGCAGUGUCAUGGAUGGUGCCAUUGCUUCUGGCGUUAGUAAAUUUGCAACCUUAUCGCUACACGAUCGGAAGGAAAGACACCAUGAGAAAGAUCACAAGAGAAACCAUAGCAUGGGACAUAUAUCUAGCAAGAGCAGUGACAAACUGAACCUAGUUACUAAAACCAAAACGGACCCAGCUAAAACUUUGGGAACACCUCUCUGUCCCCGAAUGGAAGAUGUUCCCUUGUUAGAGCCUCUUAUCUGUAAAAAGAUAGCACAUGAAAGACUGACUGUGUUAAUUUUUCUUGAAGACUGUAUAGUCACUGCUUGUCAGGAGGGAUUUAUUUGCACAUGGGCAAGGCCUGGUAAAGUGGUAAGUUUUAAUCCUUAAUGCUGCAUCAAAGAGCUAGAACUCUGAAUAGAUAGUUUUCUUGAAAUAUAAUGAAUGUUGAAUAUAAAAUUUCUUUAUGCUUAAUGUAAAAAAAUAUCCUCAGAGCCAUACUUUUGGAUACUGCAUGCCAUAUUUCUGAAUGAUUUGAAGUGUCUUGGAUACAAUUAUUAAAUAUAGUUGCCUUCCAGCAGAAGAAAUAAAUACUGUGCAUCUAAACUAUUGAUCAGUGUUCUUAUACUUAAGCAUAACCACAAUAUGGUGAAAGCUAUUUAUGUAAAAAUUGAAGUAAAACCUGUCAAACACUAAAAUAAUCAUAAUCCUUCUAAUGUUUUCUAAAAAAUAAGCACUCCCAAUGAGAGUAGCUUAUGAAAAGCUGCUGCUUCUAAGUCUAAUGAGAAACGUGAGCCUCUGAAAAAGUGAAAACCAAAGUGUUUUAUUCCUCCAUUCUUUUCUGUGGUGGCCUGCCAUUAAUGUGAAACCACUUCUUAUUAAAACAUCAGCCAUUUUAUGCACAGAUUUGUGAGCCCUGUACUGACUGUAGUUUAUGCUCUUAAAUUGUGAAUCAGUAUUAACAAAGAACUCUAAUUAUAGCCAGGUUUUGAUUUAUGUAUUUAAGUUAGGGAAAAUCCUGCAAGCUUUCUCUCAGUAGUUUCAGUGUUCUGUUCCUGUCAGGUUUGUUGAGGCAGUUCAACCACUACAAGCUUGUGUUUUUGAUGGCACCUAUUCCAUCAGCUGAACCUACGUUAGUCUGUUACCAGUUUUCACUCUUGUUGUUGAUGCACUUGAACACCUAUAAUAUUUUAUUUUUCUUUUGUCCAAUGUAUAGAUAGCUAAAUUUUGACUGAAGCUAAAUGUGGUGAUUCUUACAUUAAAAAGUACUUUGUGCUACAAUAGCUCUGCUUGCCAGCAACAGUUCAAAGGAAUACAGCUGUGAAAACAUUUCCAGAGUUGAUCUGAGAAAAAGAACCAUUAUUUUUGUGAAAAUUUCUGAAAGGGGAUGUAGAUUAUCACCUGAAGUAAGAGCAAUGAUCUGGUAAUACCUGAGUAAUGCCAUGUUGAGCAACUUAAAUGAAAAUCUGUUGUUUGUUAGAUUUUAACCAUUUGGUUCGUAAAUCUGACUUUUGAAGUAGAGGUACUGUAUAUAUUUAGAUACCACAUCUUCAUUACUAUAAACUUGCAAGUAAAACUCAAUUAUUUUUCUUAAAAAUUGUUUGUAUAAUGUAGGCUUUUUUGAGAUCUUAUCAAAUUAGUCACAACAUAUGUAUGCGUAAAAAUCUGUGUCUGUUCUGCAUCUUAAUGCAUCUUUAAAGGUUGAAUCUAAAACUUAAAAUUGAAAACCCCUUUAUGGGAGAAGGGAGGAGGGUGUUACCUAAAAGUAUUUUUUUGCCUGAGAACUACAAAUCCAGCAUUAAUUAAAAAAUAAAAGCACUCCCUUAAAACACUAAAUUAUUUAAAAUGUUUGCUCAAAAUGAAAGUAUUAAAGCAAUUACACUUUUGUGACUCGGUGCACUUCACAUCUUAUUAAUUACAGCAGUGCCUCAGAUUGCUAUUGUGAGCUACAUUUUCUUUUUGUUCUAAAACUCCUUUGAAUACUAUUAAACACUACAUGUCACAUUUAUUUUUCAGUGGCUGAGGUGGGUUUUGUUAGACUGAGUAUAACUUAAAUAUUUUUGUGUAUUGACUUUGAUUUGGAAUAUGACAUUUCAAAUAUUUCAGAGAUAAAGUAUGCAGUACCAAAAAUCAGGAUUUAUGUAUUGGCCAAUAUGGAAAACUUUAACUACAGGUAAGUAAUUUUCAUGCUGAAGUUAUCACUUUCAAAAUUAAUAUAUUGCACACUGAUGUAAAUGCCAUAUUCUUUAGGAUGUAUUUACUUAGAAAUUUACAAAUUAAUUUGUUUUUCUGAUUUCACUUGCAUUUCUAGUGAGCUCACUCUGCUGGUAAAAACUAAAUUUUGGUGGCAUGUUUACAGGGCUUUGUUAGGAAAAUACUUGUGCCAGAAGGACGUUAUGAGCAUCCUUUUUGUUUAUAGGAAAGCACUUAAUUUUAUUUAAUGAGAAUUGUCAAAGUAUAAAACACUCAUGGUGAUGUCUUUCUUACUGGGUUAUAUACCAUCAUUUCUGUUUCACCAGCUGUUUUAUCCUAGGAUGUCCCAUUACUCUGGGGUUUAAAGUUGCUAUUUCUAGUCUUCCUUUGACACAUGGCUCCCCAAGUGAUCCUAAAGCUCUGUCACUUUUUUGUCUGCCAACUCUGUAGAGUACAAGCCUCUGAAUCUUGCUGCUGCUUCCAUCAUUGCCUCAGAAGGCCUUCAUUAAAUUGAUGCCACUGCCAGCCUAAAGAAAGAAUUGGAUGGAAAAGGGAAGGAGGCUUGCAGUGUCUAAUGUAAUUUCCAUUGAGCCAGUGCUACCUCUCCCUCUCAUUUCCAACAGCCAUCAAAACAUGUGCUGGAUAAUUUGACAGUGUAUGACACAUUCUGUUUAUUUUUCUGGUUGGGCUUGUGCUGCCCUGAGUGGAAAAUAAAUCCAGAAGUGUCUCUUCAGCCAUGAUCCCUGUGAUAGUUGAUAGUCUGUACAGUGCUGAUAUUGUCCUGACAGUUUGUUUAUAAACUUUCCAAAUUACUGCUUUGGUGUGUACCAAAUCAUACCUUGAGCUUCCUCACGGGAUGCACCGUCCUUGCGUUGCACUUCCAGAACUGCUCUGCCAACUCCCAGUCAGUGAAGUGAAGCGAAUGGCAAAAUUCAAUUAGAAACAAGUUGGAUGAGGCUCAGGGUUCAUUAGUUUCAAUUUUUUAUUCUCUUUUUUUUUUUUUGGUGAGCUGGUUUCUGUGAAAGAAGGUUCAAGGCGGUCAGAAAAAUAGGUUGCCUUAACAAGAGUGUGAGCUUUUCUUCUCAACAUGGUGACAAUUAGCUGUCGUCUCUCACCCCUGUCUUUCCCAGGCCCUGAUGGCAAAUUUAAACGGGGUUACAGAACUGUUGGAUUAAUCUGGAAAGAUAGAAUUUGGAAGGAACAAAAGUAAACUUUAUUGUGCUAUCUUUAUAGCUACGUCAAACUGAAUUACAGGAUCUGCAGAAGCAAUUAAAAAACCCCAACAAAAGCAACCCACAAAACCCCAAAGUGGUACUUGCAUAUGCAAAAUAAGUUUUCUCUGAACUCAGUGGUCAGAGUCACUACUUAUGUGAUUUCUGUGUUGGACUUCAGAACUGACUGUUCAUUGUCUGUGCAGCAACUCCAUUUUCCAUGAGUGAAAGUUGCUGGUGAGCUCCCUGUGUCAGAAAGCUCAAGGGUUUAUUGUCAUCCCAAAACCAGGCCAAUUCUCCAAGUGGAACUGUAGUAUAGCAUCACACUACUGCUAGCAAAUCUCUGAACGCAGGACAAGAAGUAAUGGCAGUGGAACCAGGAGCUGUUCUUCAGGCAAAGAGCAUCACAAAUUAUAAUGUGGCAGAGUGUAAACAUGGAAUUAUGUGAAUCACAUAGUGACUUGCAAAGGACAAAUGUAAGGAGUUCUCACUACAGCUGAUCCUGCUAGGCUGCUCACCCAAGGAAGAGUUUGCAUUGGAGAAAAAGCAAAAAGCUUCCUUUAGUACUGCAGGAAAAAAGUAGUAACAUUUUUGUUUUCUUUAUACUUUUCAAGUCCAGUGUAAUUUAAUCUCUCUAUAAAUAUAUAAAUAAAAGUUAUACAUAUAUAUAUAUAGUGUAAAAUAAGAUAUGUUUCUUAAAUUCAAGUAAGUUCAAUGGUUAAACUAGUACUUCACCAUUGUUUAUUUUGCACUGAUUUUUUUAACCAGAGAUGGCUAGAAGACAGCCUGGAAUGCACUCAUGGAAAAUGAAAGUCAUUACUUUCUGGCUUCAAAAUGUUUUUCAGGAAGAUGGAUGCUGCAAUCAUAGAUUUUUUUAAAACAAAAUUGUUUUGCACUUAAAUAGUUUAAUGCUUAUAGAGAAUUACUUUAAAAUUGGUGUCCAGACACCAGAAAAACUAUGUUGUGGAGAAAAGAUCCUUUGUAUCUAUUAAACAUUUAUUUUAAUAUUGUUGUUUCCAACUGCAAUCGGCUCUGUAAUAUAUGUAUAAAUAAUGUAAUUCAGUGAUGGGGGAUGGGAGUAAUGGAUCAUUACACUAGAAAUUCUCAUUCAUUUAAGAAAGUGAUAUUUCUAAUUCAGAAAAUACAUAUUAAACUAUCUUGAAUAUGCA